GACGAACGCUGGCGGCGUGCUUAACACAUGCAAGUCGAACGGUAAGGCCCUUCGGGGUACACGAGUGGCGAACGGGUGAGUAACACGUGGGUGAUCUGCCCUGCACUUCGGGAUAAGCCUGGGAAACUGGGUCUAAUACCGGAUAGGACCACUGCCUGCAUGGGUGGUGGGGGAAAGCUUUUGCGGUGUGGGAGGGGCCCGCGGCCUAUCAGCUUGUUGGUGGGGUGAUGGCCUACCAAGGCGACGACGGGUAGCCGGCCUGAGAGGGUGACCGGCCACACUGGGACUGAGAUACGGCCCAGACUCCUACGGGAGGCAGCAGUGGGGAAUAUUGCACAAUGGGCGCAAGCCUGAUGCAGCGACGCCGCGUGAGGGAUGACGGCCUUCGGGUUGUAAACCUCUUUCAGCACCGACGAAGCGCAAGUGACGGUAGGUGCAGAAGAAGGACCGGCCAACUACGUGCCAGCCGCCGCAGUAA
rnacentral:rRNA from 1 species